UACGUAGGGUGCAAGCGUUAAUCGGAAUUACUGGGCGUAAAGCGUGCGCAGGCGGCUUUGCAAGACAGAUGUGAAAUCCCCGGGCUCAACCUGGGAACUGCAUCUGUGACUGCAUCGCUGGAGUGCGGCAGAGGGGGAUGGAAUUCCGCGUGUAGCAGUGAAAUGCGUAGAUAUCGGAAGGAACACCAGUGGCGAAAGCGGCUUCCUGGUCCAGCACCGACGUUCAGGCACGAAAGCGUGGGGAGCAAACAGG
rnacentral:rRNA from 1 species